CGGUUGAUCCUGCCGGACCUGACUGCUAUCGGAUUGGUACUAAGCCAUGUGAGUCGUUGCAGCAAUGCAAGGCAGACGGCUCAGUAACACGUAGUCAACCUAACCUAUGGACGGGGAUAACCUCGGGAAACUGAGAAUAAUACCCGAUAGAUCAUGAUACCUGGAACGGUUUAUGGUCCAAAUGAUUUAUCGCCAUAGGAUGGGACUGCGGUCUAUCAGCUUGUUGGUGAGGUAAUGGCCCACCAAGGCUAUAACAGAUACGGGCUCUGAGAGGAGGGGCCCGGAGAUGGGUACUGAGACACGGACCCAGGUCCUAUGGGGCGCAGCAGGCGAGAAACCUUUGCAAUGUGCGAAAGCACGACAAGGUUAAUCCGAGUGAUUCCUGCUAAAGGAAUCUUUUGUUAGUCAUAAAACCACUGAUGAAUAAGGGGUGGGCAAGUUCUGGUGUCAGCCGCCGCGGUAAUACCAGCACCUCGAGUGGUCAGGAGGUUUAUUGGGCCUAAAGCAUCCGUAGCCGGCUGUUCAAGUUUCCGGUUAAAUCCACACGCUUAACGUAUGGGCUGCCGGAAAUACUGUUCAGCUAGGGAGUGGGAGAGGUAGACGGUACUCGAUAGGUAGGGGUAAAAUCCUUUGAUCUAUUGAUGACCACCUGUGGCGAAGGCGCCUCACCAGAACGGCUUCGACAGUGAGGGACGAAAGCUGGGGGAGCAAACCGGAUUAGAUACCCGGGUAGUCCCAGCCGUAAACUAUGCGCGUUAGGUGUAUCGGUGACCAC
rnacentral:rRNA from 1 species